UUCGGGUGCGAGUAAAGUGGCGGACGGGUGAGUAACGCGUGGGAAUCUGCCUAGUAGUGGGGGGAUAACAAUCGGAAACGGUUGCUAAUACCGCAUACGCCCUACGGGGGAAAGGCUUUGGCCGCUAUUAGAUGAGCCCGCGUAAGAUUAGCUUGUUGGUGGGGUAAUGGCCUACCAAGGCAACGAUCUUUAGCUGGUCUGAGAGGACGAUCAGCCACACUGGGACUGAGACACGGCCCAG
rnacentral:rRNA from 1 species